rnacentral:lncRNA from 1 species
AAAGAUGGUUUUGCCGAAUUGUUGUCAUUCAAUGUGCAUCAAAUGCUACCGAAAUUGGUAAAGACAAGUCUUAUUAAGCAUCAUCGUCAUUGUCUAUGAAGCACUUUGUAGUGACCUCUGUGCUCAAUUGCUAUUUCUUCCUACAUUACAGGAACACAAGGUCAGAAUCAUGUCCAUUUUGUCGUGGCAGCUUAAAGAGGGUCAACUCAGAGGACUUAUGGGUACUCACUUGCAGCGAUGAUGUGGUUGAUACCGAAACCGUUUCCAAGGAGGACAUGUUGCAGUUUCAUCGCUACAUAAACAGCCUUCCAAAAGACUAUCCAGAUGCCCUCUUCAUAGUAUAUUCCGAAUAUCUAAUUUAGUUCAGGCUUCAGAGU